GGCCUGCAGCUGACUGGUCACAGAACCCGCAGCAGAGGUGUCCCAGGGACCACCAAGGAUAAUAUGGCAACUCGUCCUCCUCCUGCCCUUGCCCACCUUUUCUCUUGCAGCACCUGGAGGAUAGCCAGCCGAGGGAGACAGGUGAGGCCAGCCAGGCCUUGGAAAGCACACUCCUGGUGCACCAGGAGGCCAUGAGAGGUAUCCAGGCACCAGCCAAAGAGGGCAGAGCUGGGACAGGAAGCAGUGGGCACAGGAAGUCAACUUCAAAACAUUCCCCUAGCAGGAUGGAGGAACAUCAUGAGGAGUCGAGGGACCUGGACACCAGAGGGAAUUCCAGUAUGCUCACCCCAGUGCUGCCUCUCAGAGGUUCAGAUGCCUCAGCCAAAGGGCCACCACAUCAGAGAGUGUCAGAACUGGGCCAGACACCAGUGACACUGCCAGACUGAAGACCUCUCCACUCCAAGCAAGGCCCACCUUCAUGACCCUUCAACUUUCCCAGGGCUGGCAGUUCCUGGGGCUAC